GAUGAACGCUGGCGGCGUGCUUAACACAUGCAAGUCGAGCGGGCAAUUUAUCUAGCACUGAUUACUUCAAAUGGAAAUCAUAAGUGUAAUCAUGAAUUUCUACCUUUAAUAAAGAAAAAAGAAAUUCAUGUACGCAAAUAGUGAUAACACAUGAAAGUGGAGUGAUGAGUGCUGGAUAAAUUGCUAGCGGCGGACGGGUGCGUAACACGUGGGUAACCUGCCCCUAUCACUGGGAUAACACACUGAAAAGUGUGCUAAUACCAGAUAAUAUAAGCUUUUGGCAUCAUUAGCUUAUCAAAGAAUUUCGGAUAGGGAUGGGCCCGCGUCUGAUUAGCUAGUUGGUGAGGUAACGGCUCACCAAGGCAACGAUCAGUAGCCGACCUGAGAGGGUGAUCGGCCACACUGGAACUGAGACACGGUCCAGACUCCUACGGG
rnacentral:rRNA from 1 species